ensembl:lncRNA
UAUAUAUUUAUAGACACACAUAUAUAUUUAUAUAUAUAUAUAUAUAUACACACAGACACAUUUAUUUAUAGAUAUAUUUGCAGACAAACAUAAAUAUCGAUUAAAAGUUUGACAUCAGGGGGCAGAUAACACAGAACAUGACCCCUUUAUAGGUUUAUGUGUUGACUUACCAAUGAAACCUAUUCAUCUUAAAAAACACUUUUUACAAGACCAAAUUCAGAAAAUAAAGGCGUCUAAAUUGACACAUUUGUGCAAAACUAUUUUAUUUACAAAACAAAAUGGCACAACGUGACAGCCGGGCAGCCUGUACAUGCACAGCGCAGGCAGAUUCAGUGCUCCACAACUCUGACCGACGAAGAGGGCAAACAAUCAGCAACAGCUCUAGAGCUGGCCCUGAGGGCCGGUCAACCUAUCAUCAGUCUGGAGGUCCUGCGUUCUCUCAACCACUGCCGCCACUCUCUUCCAUUAUGUUAAUCUGCUGGCUAGCGGUGUGGUGGUCCCAGCUAUCGGAGCAUUGAUCUAUAAAGUUAUGCAUUCUCUUGAUCUGAUCACUGAUCUGUUACAAUGACUGGGAGAGCUCUGCAAAUGAGCGGCGUUUGAGAUGGUGAACCACGCAAGGACCAAAUUGUGCAGAGCAAACAUCAUUAGUCCCGACAGCAGAGCCUUUAGACCACUGACAACCAUGUGAUCCAUCAGCACACACGUGUCAAUGUUCACAUCCUCUGCGGCCUUCUCCCCGCCUCCCUCACGCACCUCGAAAGCCACAAAAUUUCACGUUUGGUUUUAGAGCAUCGAGAAAUACCAGCAAUAAUAACGUUUGAUUAGCACAUUAGUUAUUGACUCUGCUAAGCUACAAUAGCUCUACAUUCAUACAGCCUACUGUGUGUUCAGGGUCCUGAGCCCACCACGAGCACGAGCCUGCUAUGUUUAUGGGUCAGGCAAUGGGAUGCAGUUUGGAUGUUGACUUUUGACCGGACGGUGGACAGAAGUGCUCCAGUCUGUGAUUAAUUCCUUCUGUAAAACAAUGCCUUUUAAAUUCUGGACUUUUGAAGAGCAACAGGGAUCCCGAGGGACAAAGAUGGGAGUUGCAGAGACAGCGGUUAACAGGGUUAAUUAGGUCAGACUUUACACCCUCUUCAAGGUUGAAUAUUGAAACAGACCUGAAGGUACUUCCUUCAUGCCAUUUGCAGCCCCUGAUUCUGUUGGCAUAUACGCGUGUCCGUCUGUUCAGAGCGCUAGUGUUUCAGCUUGGAAAUGGAAGGUCUUAUUCUAAUGGAGCCCUUUUGACCCACAUGCAGUUUGGUACAACACCAUGGCCUCUGACACGUAGUCUGUCUUGUACACCCACGUUCUCCAUUAUAGAACAGAGGAAAGAGGAGAAGAAAGGAAAGAAAAGCAUGUGAUCUUUGCCACGACCAGUGGAGGUGGUUAAUAUUUGCAGUGAGUCACUAAAGCACAUUAGGAGCAUAAUUUAGGACAUACAGUGAAUUAUACAACUCUAAAGUAAAAGUUACUAAAAGCCGAUGUCUUCCUUUGUGCCAAAGGGAGAAUAUGUACAUUUUGAUAAACAAUGGAGGGGUGUCUUUAUACUGGAACCCUCCGACUACACAAAAAGAAACUGGGUUCUCAUUCUGAUCACGUCAACCAUAAGGAUGGCAGGACUUUCACAGAAGCAUAUACAUGCGGGCAGUGGAUCAAGGGAGAAAACAGGGAUAGGAAAACAAGUGCGUCAGCUUGGAUGAGGAGGGAGAGUAGAGGGGAGAGAGGAAGGCAGGAGGACCCAAACAGCAGGUGGGAGUGCUGGGAGGGGUCUCGGGUUAGCCAGUUGGCUUUCUGAUCGCUAGGGUUACAUUUGGGCGGGGUCAGGCCAAGGGACUGGUUGUGUUAUGGGAAGCGUGUGUGUGUGUGUGUGUGUAUAUAUAAGUGUGUGUGUGGGGGGGUGUUUUAUAGGAGUGUGGAGAGGUACAGGGAGCUGAUGCAGGGCCUUGGUUCUUGCUUUGAAGGGGAACUCAGCCGGCCAGUUUGCUGGCCACCAGGGAUGGUUUCCUCUGGGGCAGGUCUUGUGGCGUGGGGAUGUGGUCUCCCGUGGUGAUCUCAGUCUUCUCCGGAGCAGCUGUUGGAAGCUGCUUGUUCUUGAUCUUGGCUUUGGCCAUGUUGUAGUCGCCAGAGUCAAAGUACUUUUGCUGUGGAGAUAAUGAAACGGCGUUAGUGGUGGCAAUGUUUUGGGUUCUACCUUAUUUUUCAAUUCAAAAACGUACAGUACAUGAUUUUCAAACUUUAUUAGAAGAUUCCAACCGGUCUGUUUGAGCAGACCAACGUAGCCGUUUCUCCCGGCUUCACUAAAAGUUUAAAGAAAUUACUUCCGUGUACAGAUUCUGCCUUAGAGCAUAUAGCGUGCCGCCUGCAACAAAUGUAAACAAUAGCAGUAUAGAACUUUGGUGUGUUGGAAUCAAUGUGCGUCAUCAGUACGGAGAUGGGGACAGGAAGCCAGGAGAGACGGAUGUUACAGUUUGACCACACAGACCGGUUCUUUGUGGAGCUUGUUAUCCCAUUUCCUUCAUUGCAGAACAACAUCCCUACUUGAACAUGAAGUCAAUCAUGAAUAAUUUAUUGCAAAUCAGAUGCUAAGAAAAGUAAAGCACAUUAGUUGUAAGAUGGCUCUUAAAGAUGUAAGCCGUUGAUUAAAGUAUUAAACACAUUGUUGAUAGUGGGGCAGGGAUUAAAACAUAUAAUUGCAUAUCAUUCAACAUGUUUAAAAGGCUGGUUAUUGAUUUCCUCUCCAGGUAAGGUAAUGAAGUCAUUUAGUCAAGUCGUAGAAUAUUACUUUACAUAUAUAUUAGUAAAUACAUUGUUGCGUCAUAUAUGCUGAUAGUUAUUUUAAAAUAACUGAAGAGGUGAACCACUUACUCCCUUCUGCAGCCGCUUGCGGAGAAGAUCUGAACCUCCGGGUUUAUGUGCUAGACUUGGAUACCUGGACUUCAAUUUGGCCUCUUCUGCCCUUUCAGGACUGAUCACCUUUUCAUCCUGAAAAAGAAUAUGAAUGUCAACAGACAGUGACUUGUAGCGAUAUUACAUGUUGAGUCUCUUGAUGAUGUCAACACUCGCUAACUCAGUCUGAUUUCAUUUCAUAGUGACAUGUUGAGUCUCUUGACACGUCAAUAUUAUUUACUUCUAGUGGUGAAAC